UCUCCGUUGGUGAACCAGCGGAGGGAUUAUUACAGAGUUCCACAACUCCCAACCCCUGCGAACCGUACCCCAGUUUGUUCUCGUUGCCUCCUGGCGGCGGGCCCCCGGCGCCACCGCUCGGGCCCCCGCCAGCGGCGGCGUGCCCUCUGUACCUUUUUUUCUCCACCAGCCCGCCUGAGCAAACAAACAAAUGAAUCAAAACUUUCAACAACGGAUCUCUUGGUUCUG
rnacentral:misc_RNA from 1 species